rnacentral:lncRNA from 1 species
UUGUUUAGGGGUCAGGCCUCAGCCUCCCACUGGCUCUGUCAGCUUCGCCUGAGGUUCCCCAUCUGUGCAAUGGGUGAUGACAUCUUGGUGUGGCUCUGGGAGGACCUGUUGAGCCACCUCAGGGGCUGAGCUGGUGGCACUCGGCAGCCAGCACCCUCUGGGGAGGUGGCAGUGUGUGCACAGCCCACCCCUUCAGGAGGCCAGGGGACAGAGUGGCUGGGGGUGUCUGGGCCCCACCUCACCUUCUGUGUGGCUGGGAAUGGCAUGCACUCCACAAUGCCCUCAUAAGCCUAGGCUGGGACAAGGGUGAUAGGGAUAAAGCAGGCCAAGGUGAUGAGGGCCACAGAGCGGCAGCCAGAGGCAUGUGGGCAGUGCAGCCUCCACACCAGGCAGAGGGCCCGGCCAGCAUGGCUCCACCCUGGGAAGCUGCCUGCCACUGGGAUCAGAUGGGAGCACCAGGGCUCUGGGAGGUCCUCACUUCCUCUGGACAAGGCAGGCAGGUCACCAGCCCUGUGCCCUGCUCAUCUCCCUCAGGGCCACCUCCAUGGCCAGGGGCAGGCAGAGAGCACAGGGCUGCCCAGUCACCAGGUCUCUCUGCUUCAUAUCAGUGGACCUGGGCUCUGAGGGGAGCCAUCAAGACCUCAGGCUGGCCCACUCCGUCCUUGAGUCAGGGUCCUACAGACUGACACCAGGUGCAGGGACAGCCUGGCAGUUGUCUGAAGACCCCGGGAUGGGCUUAGGAGCUCAUCAUCAUCGGAUGCCCCCCGAGCAGAAGACGGAGAAGGAACACCCCCACCCUGUGUGGUGUGUGUAGGGGUGUCACUGGGUUCUCUGGCUCCAUGACGCCCCCCCGGCCCCGCUGGGGGCUGGCUUAGUAGAGUGGGGGAUGAUACUAAGCAGGCGGCCUCGGAGAGCGUCUUCUGGGUUUGGAGGCCACAUUCCGCAGGAAGGAAGAGGUGGGGGACCCCUGCAGGGUUAUGGGUAACAUCAGGCCUGGGUCCCCUCCCUGGGGUGGUGCAGAGAGGGCCACAAAGGCCCAAGAGGGCCCCCAGAACGCUCUUAAGCCUUGAGCCUGUUUCUU